GGAGGGAGUGCGCCCCCUCGUGGCCGCCCGGGGAGGCGCACAAGGGUCCCCCUGCUUGAGAGGCAAGGGCAGGGCCAAGGGCACCAUCCCUUCUGCUCCCUGGGACCAGACUCACAGUUCAGAGCAGGGGGGAGUGGGGUCCCAGGCGCCCCUUCUGCCACCGCCUUCCCUCCCUCCCUCCCUCCACCGCUGGGCGCGUCCCCUUGGAUGCGACUUCUGCGAUCAAAUCAGCCUCCCAGGGAAAAAGCCAGGUCUGGGAAACCGGGCAAAGCCGCGCCUCUGAAGAGACGAGUACUUGGGCAAGCUUAUGGUCAUCCGUGGAGCGCCCUAGGGUUCUGAUCUGCCUUGUUCCGAUUGCGCCUUGAGGUGUGUUUUACUUUUACCGAAUUGUUGAAAUCACAAAGGAUUGGGGGGUUGGGGGCGUCCACUAGUCACCUGAGUGAAUAGGGUGGUGGUGGGCACAGGAAUGCCCCCUGCCUAGGAGGUCCCCACGCUGAUGCCGGGAACCUGUGACCGUGGUGUUCCAUCACACAGCGCGAGGGCCCCUGCAGAGGUGCUGACGGUCCAUUCAAACCAACGGUUUUCUUUGGAAAAGGAAAUAAAUAUGAAAAUAGAAUAGCUGUUCUCAGCCUGAUAGCGUGCAGUGGAAUCAACAGAUUAGAAGACUAGAAAGAAAAAGAUGUAAUAUACAGAAACGGUGACUUUACAGAUUUUAAAACUGAUGCUUAAAAAAAAAAAAAAGAAGUGAUCGAUCCAGUCCUCUGUCCUCUACCUUGAGCGCUCAGUGCCAUGUGGCCACACCCUUGCACCUUCAACUCAGCACGGACACAUCCACCGUGGACAUCAAGCACCACUGACCCAUGACCUUGAACUGCCCAUGUUUGGGUAGAGGAAGACAACCACAGGCCAAUGACAUGAAGUCAAGUCAAUGAAAUCUACAAAGCAAUGUUUCAUCUUUUUAAAAUUGUUCUUCAAUUUUAAAAAAUUUUAAUUCCAGCAACACUCAGGGAGUCCCCAUUCCAUCACUAGGAGUCAUUUAAAGAUUUCACCCAAGGAGAGAGGACUGGGGACAUUUUGACUUUCGAACAGAUGGUGACCAUUAAAGAAACUUAAGUGCGGAUCUAAAACAAAAAUCUGGAAAUGGAGCAGGUGAGAAAAAUAGGAUGUAAAUGGCAUCUGUUUACUGGGUGGAAACAAUACAAUAAGAGUGCAGGUUAAGACAAGAGAAAAGAGAAAACAGAGUAAUGUCAAAACUUUGAGGUUGAGAGAUCACUUAAAACUUAGAGACUGGAUGUGAAAAGGAUGACAAAUUAAUACGGAACCCAACGUGUCCAAGAACGGUUGGUGCAAUGUUCGGCCCUGCCUAUGACAAGCUUCCUAAACACCAAAGGCACAUGUAGGCCGACAUACGUGCCCUCACAGAAAACAGAAAAUACCACAGAGAGAGGAACAUGGUCAGAAUUUUUUCCCCAUCGAGUAAGUAUAGCCUACAAGAGAUGAAGACUUUGCAUUAAAUAUGAUGAAAUCCCAGAAUAUUUACAUCACUUUAUAUCCAUAUCCACCAAAUCAACCAGGAGAGUGAGGGAUUAGAGCAUCGAAUACAAAAAUUCACAAGGCCACAGUGAUCGCCAAAACCAAAACUCUAAUGAUGUAGAGCGGGGAGGGAGUGUGUUCCACGGCACAAUGCCAGCCAAUACACGUUGUACAGGAAUGAUAAAGCUAGAAUCCUUCCAAUGUACACACACGGAUGCGGUGAUGACACACCACAGGGAUCAUCACAGGAUGACAACAUUUCAGAGAAAAACUUUGCAGAAAAGGAUCUUCAUACAUUCUCAGAGCUCCACUCACCACAUUACUAGUUUUAGAGAGAAAACCAUGUGUUCCUGUGAACAGAUCUUCGGGCCCCUCCAUAGCACGUGACCCAUGCUGCUCUCGCAAGAACGGUGACGGGCAAACUGGCGCUCUCGGUCUCCGGGUGGGCUGAGCUGGGACACACACAGCCUUAACUAUGGAGUGCCCUGGCGAAAGGGUUAGGCUGAAUUUAAUCAGGAGGAAUUUAAUUUCCUGAUCCUAAUCAGGAUCAGACAACUUCAGGAUGUAGACCAUUAAGACGGAUAUCUGACCUGUCCCCUACAAACAAGGAAAUGUCACCACCACCAGAGACAGCCACCUAAAGGUGAGGAGAUGUCUUGGGCUUGAAAGGACUAAACAGUGACACACUUUUUUAGUCCUUUGGAACCCAAAAGAUCUCUUCUCCUUUUUGUCGUCUCUUAUUUGUGGUGACAAUGACUGUUUGAAGAAAGACAGGCGUCUUGUUCGAUGGUCUACAUCCUGAAGUUGACUGAUGCCUACCUUGUGCUCAAAUUCAGGCUAACCCUUUGCGGCCGGAACACUGCACAGUUAAUGCUGUCUGCUCCUAGCACAGCCCAUCUGUUGGCCCAGAAUGUCCAGUUUGACACGUGCUCUUUUUCCACGUUGCUCCCGAGUCCUCGGGUUCAUCGCGGGAUGGAAUUGAGAGGAGCAAGACUUAAGGUCUCUCAAACCUGCACGUGAUCCAGUCAGGCAUUGGUCUCCUUGGCGAUUUAUCACGAGUGGAGGCUGAAGGGCUAGAAUUUCUCUCGUCAAACCGUGUGUUGCAGUCAAAAUCACAGAGUGGCUUGUGGUUGUGAUGUUGAUUCUCAGCAAAGGAUCCCUUCCGUGCUCUGUUGGGGCUUUUCCUUGCUGCACUGUUUUAGAUUUCUUUUCAUCAAGUGGAAAAUGAUGGGGUUCUAUGGUAGGAUUUCAUUCACAUGAGGAAUCUCUUCUCCUAUUUCCUGAGGUACUUGGUAUCUGGCAGAGAGAGAGAGAGAGAGAGAGAGAGAGAAAUGGAAUGUGAGUCUUUGUCAGAUGCUGCUGAUAGCUGAGCCUGGAGGGGUGGCUACGUGGUCACGGAGGCCAGGAGCAAGCUGAGCUCCUGUGCAGAGAAGAAGCUGACGGGGGACCCACAAGCAGGCCGAGCCGGAGAGUAGGAGCCACAGGUCAGAAGUGACACCUCACUAAACUUACAGCGGCCUGUGUUGCAGGACCCAGGGACCCCUGUGCUCCACCCAGAAGGAACCUGGUGAACCCAAGCUCAAGGCUGCUGUGAACUUUUGCCAGAUCCUGACUACCUCCUCCUCAGCAGCCACUUCAUGCUUGAACCUGCUUCAGCAGAAGCCAAGUGGUGGCUUUCUCUUGCUUCCCAGGGAGGGGGGCACUCAGCACCUAACACACAUAUUCACAAACAGUCUGCCAUAGGAAGGAGGGGACCCUUGGCAGACAAACACUCCCCCUUCUCACCCUUGUCCCAGUCUUCUGAGGAGGAGGCCAGGCUAUAGAAGGAGUCCUAGAAUGUGAGAGCCGGAAGGGGCCUCAGAAUGUCCCCAAGUUCAGUUCUGCCAUGUGCAGAUGAGGAGAUGUGGUCCAAGAGGCUAAGGACCGCCCGAGCCAUGUGACCUGUUCCUGAAAACCCUGGAGACUGAGACGAGACACAGGCUCAGGCCCUGCCCAAACAUGUGGGGGAAGGGAGAAGAAAGCCUCAGUUCUGGAGGUGUGUGCAAGCAGUAGAUGCUGUUGGUCACGUGGCCUGACAGGAAGACGCCCAAAGGGGCUGAGGGAGGAUCCCAAGAAGGAGAGACUCAAGGGGAAUUAACAAAAAGAUCAGGGCAUGUAGCCAUGGCCCUACUCAUUUUCACUCAGGUCCACCAACAUUCUCUGAAGGUAAUGUCCCACAGGAUAGAACUUAGGGCAUUUCCAGGAAUAUCCUCCGUAGAUGGACUCACCAAAUUCUGAAGUGAAAAUGAAAAAGCAUUAGUUUUAUUUAGCUCCCUAGAUUGUCAUCCCUUCUUUUCCAAACUUUCCCUAAGUAAAAAAGUUUCUCAGUGUUUACACUGGUGUGCAGAAGGGCCUGCAAGUGGAUUAACACAGGAGAAUGAGACCUAAAAUUCCCUACUGAGAUUUUGUAUAAGCACAAACUUUGAUUCAAAUAUUUUGUUGCAAGCUGCAGUGACUCUGACGGGGGCUUUCAAAUCCACUUAGUGACUAGUGAA